ensembl:lncRNA
CCCCUCACAGUGCUCCUCUCCCCCUCCGCCGCCUCCCCUCAUCCUCAGAAUAAAGUUGUUGAGCUCGCGGCGCUCGUCCAUCCCUCUUUUUAAUCAACCUAAUGGAGGCAACAUGUCGUAUUGAUCCUCUGCGCCUCCAGUUCUCACAAUGGAUCGACGUCUGUUCCAAGCAGAGCUGCCUGUCCACGUUCGCCCCCCGUCCCUCCACCACCGCUGUGCGCCCAACCGGUCUUGUGAUGUUUGAAUAUGCACAAAGAGGGAAGAGCGCUCAGCUUCACAAACGUGGCUCCCUGCUUGAGUGACGCGUGACCUCUGAGUGGCUGGGCUCUUGACCCCUGAAGAGACGGCUCACGUCUUCCCUCACAGCUAAUCUGGGGAGUCGGCUGGCGAGGCCGAUUCCAAACUGUAACAAAUCAGACGCUGCCCAGCCGAGUGUCAUAAGAAACAGACAGGUAAUGACAAUUCACUUACCCCCUACGCAAGAAUCAAUUCUCCCACAAUGCACCUGUCACAGAGCCCUCGGUACACUGAAGCCAUUUCUUCCUACUGUCUGACACAAUAAUUGCAUGUUACAUUUUUUUUUUUCUUUUUUUUGAGCUCUGCAUUUUGGGAAAAAUAGUGAUGAAUCAUGUUUACUUAUCAUAAACAUUUUUUUUCAUAUGGGAAACAAAACCACAAUAAGGUAAACAUAAACUAAAUCAUGCACAUUUAAAUGGGGACAUGGACAGGAAAGGAUGCUUCAUUCAACUAAAUGGAUUCCAAUCAAGCAUUCUGUGCUGAGUGUAUUGAAUCAGAAGAAGCGCAGGCUGGCACCAUACCGGUAAUAUCUGGCUGCCUUUAUAGAUCCAACACAGAGGACAAACAUUUCUUAGUGUCAUUUUUGUUUCUCUGUCAGGUGAAAAUAAAAUGGGCAUAAAUAAGUUGCAUCAGGAUCGUCGGAUAAGAUGUCGAGGUUGACAAACGCAGGACUUUCCGCUAGAAGACGCAUGUUCCCGUCGGACUUGGAACCAAAAGUUACGUACGGUAUCGUACAUAACGUAGCGUUCACAGUGUAGGACAUACUAUAAAAAAAUUGAGCCAAACUAACUGUAAGGGAUCGCUCGAGUGUGGAAGUGUGGUACUACAAGGCAUUUAGUCAGCGCCAUCGCUGUAUACCAACAGCAGAACAGAGCAUCAUACUGCUGUGAACUGUUCCAACAUUACAUUACAUUACAUACAGACAUAAAAAAAGACCCAAUGAAAGCAAUUGAUACCCAUUAAUACGUGUACACUAAAUUUGGCAGCAUUUUUGUCUUUGUUAGAGCGUAAAACAGAAGUUAAGAGUGAAGCUUAUUGAUGCUCUCCUCACAGCCACAAGAAACGCGACC